AUGCCUGUACCAUAACCGACACAGGUGGGUAAGUAGAGUAUACUAAGGGGCGCGAGAUAACUCUCUCUAAGGAACUCGGCAAAAUAACUCCGUAACUUCGGGAGAAGGAGUGCCUUAUUCUUAAGGUUGCAAUAACAAGAUCCAAGCAACUGUUUAUCAAAAACACAGGUCUCCGCUAAGUCGUAAGACGAUGUAUGGGGGCUGACGCCUGCCCAGUGCCAGAAGGUUAAAGAAGUCGGUUAGCAAUAGCAAAGCUGGUAACUGAAGCCCUGGUGAACGGCGGCCGUAACGAUAACGGUCCUAAGGUAGCGAAAUUCCUUGUUGGGUAAGUUCCGACCCGCACGAAAGGCGUAAUGAUUUGGAUGCUGUCUCGGAGAGGGGCUCGGUGAAAUAGACUUGUCUGUGAAGAUGCGGACUACCUGCACCAGGACAGAAAGACCCUAUGAAGCUUUACUGUAACUUGAAAUUGAAAUUGGACUUCAUUCGCGCAGUAUAGGUGGGAGGCGUUGAUUAUAAUCUUGCGGGAUUAUUGGAGCCAUCAGUGAGAUACCACUCUUGUAAUGUUAGAUUUCUAACUUUGAAUCAUUAUCUGGUCAAAGGACAGUUUCAGGCGGGCAGUUUGACUGGGGCGGUCGCCUCCUAAACGGUAACGGAGGCGUACAAAGGUUUCCUCUGAACGGUUAGAAAUCGUAUCUAGAGUGUAAAGGCAUAAGGAAGCUUGACUGUGAGACCUACAAGUCGAGCAGGGACGAAAGUCGGUCUUAGUGAUCUGACGGUACUGAGUGGAAAGGCCGUCACUCAACGGAUAAAAGUUACUCUAGGAUAACAGGCUGAUCUCCCCCAAGAGUUCACAUCGACGGGGAGGUUUGGCACCUCGAUGUCGGCUCAUCGCAUCCUGGGGCGGUAGUACGUCCCAAGGGUUGGGCUGUUCGCCCAUGAAAGCGGUACGCGAGCUGGGUUCAGAACGUCGUGAGACAGUUCGGUCCAUAUCCGGUGUAGGCGCUAGAAUAUUGAGAGGAGCCUUCUUUAGUACGAGAGGACCGAGAAGGACAUACCUCUGGUGUACCAGUUAUCGUGCCAACGGUAAACGCUGGGUAGCUAUGUAUGGAGUGGAUAACCGCUGAAAGCAUCUAAGUGGGAAGCCCACCUCAAGAUAAGUAUUCUCAUCACGUAAGUGAGUAAGGUCACGGUAAGACUAACCGUUUGAUAGGCAUUAAGUGUAAGUACAGUAAUGUAUGUGCUGAGAUGUCCUAAUAGACCGAGGAC
rnacentral:rRNA from 1 species